AAUGGCCCCACUACCCUGCACAUGCCCAGUCUUGACUGGUCUUGGAAGCUAAGCAGCAUUGGGUGUGGUUGUACUUGGAAGGGAGAUAAUCAUUUUAAGCCAAUU
rnacentral:rRNA from 1 species